GGGUCCUUAGCUCAGCGGUUUAGAGCGCUCGCCUCACACGCGAGAGGUCACUGGUUCAAAUCCAGUAGGACCCACCC
rnacentral:tRNA from 2 species